ensembl:lncRNA
CUGCUCACUUGUAUACUUUUUUCCAGGAAAUUGAUGAAUAAAUCAAUUCAUCAAUUUCAAUUUCAAUUAAAUGAAUUAAUUGAUACUUUUAUUCAGUGAGGCUGUUAAAUUGAUAAAAAGUGAUAGUAAAGACAUAUUAUGUCAUUAUACAUAUACGCAUACACACAUAGAAGACUGUAGUAUUAAUUCACAAUAUUACUAUUUUUAUGAAGUAUUUUUAUGAUACAUGAUUCAGCUUUAGUGAGCAUAAGACAGCAUUAAAAAUCCCUUACCAACCCCAAACGGGUUGAAUGGUGGUUAAACACACACACACUUUAGAUUAGAAAAAAUAUUUUCUUCCUUCAAUUAUAUGACUGUACGAGAUAACAUGGUAUGUGAGUUAUACAUGGAUGAUGUAGAAAGUUUAAAAACAAAAAUGCCAUCACUCUCCAUUCUUGCCACUUUCUUGUACAUGACCACUAGAUGGAGACAACAGAAACACUACUUUGACCAGAAGGCAGGCUGACACUGAAAACAGUGUGUAUUAACACUUGUUUGCAGCACAGCUCUUUUAAUUGACCCUAGGGAGCAAACCUUCAUUACCUUAACAAAGAAAAAGAUGGGAAAUGAGUUCAGUAAUUAUCACUUUGCUGUCUAAUUUCAUGCCAAUUGCUAUCUACAAUCUGAUUAUUUGCCAUUCAUGGUAGCCUAAUAUUUUAAUUAACUUGUGUAAUGAAGUCAGAGUACCAGUUACAGUUUUUCUAUUUCCCCCCUUUGUUAAAGCGCUUUGUUUGAUGUAUAAACUGCGUAAUAUUCAGAUGGCCAUUUCUUUACUGCCAUUUGACAAAUGUUUUUCUGUGUAAUGUUUGCAUUAAACAAACGGUGGUCAUGUUUUGCAGAAGCUGUGCCGAGUGAAACAUAUGGGUAGUCUCCACAGGAGAUUGGUACGACAGGCCACAUGCCCAGAGUUCAUCCACUCUCAUCUGUCCCACAGCACCCAGCUGAGCCUAAUCAGUGUGUCCCUCCAUCAUCCGCUGAGUGGACCUGCACCUUCUACACCACAGCAAUAAAAAACCUCACCAUAAAAAAAAGAAAAUCAUACCGAUUUGAAAAAAGGUGAGUAAAUGAUAACAGUGCGGUCAAAAAAGUGAAAUUUCAAAGGUGAAAUCCAGUCAUAGAAAUAGGACUCCGCAUGAUGAUGGGAAUUCCAGUUCUUUUUUAGUGAGCCAUAUCAUUUGUCUCAGUUUAUUAAUAAGAUAUAGCUCUUUCUUUUAUAUUUGAGCUAAAUUUGACCUACAGCUAUAUAUAUAUAUAUAUAUAUAUAUAUAUAUAUGUGUGUGUGUGUGUG